CCGCCUCAGCCAAUGCCGCCUGCGCCACUGCUGCUGCCGCUGGUGCCUCCGUUGCCCGAAUCUGUACCACCUGAGCUUUUGCAGCUGCCGCUGGUGCCACCGCCACCUGAGCCUCUUCCGUCUGGACCUCUGCCACUGUCACUGGUGCAUCCGCAGCCUGAGCCUCUAGCGCCUGGGCCUCUGCCACUGCCACUGCCACUGAUGCCUCAGCCGCCAGAGCCUCUACCGCCUGGGCUCUUGCCGCUGCCGCUGGAACUUCCACCGCCGGACUUCUACUGCCUGGGCCUCUGCUGUUGGUGCCUCCACAGUCCGAGCCUUUACCGCCUGGGCCUCUGCAACAUGGGCCUCUGCUGCUGGCGCUGGUAACUCCUCACCCUGAGCCGCUAACGCCUGGACCCUUGCCGCUGCCGUUGGUGCCUCCACAGCCAUAUCCUCUACUUCUGGCGGCUCUGGCAGCUGGAAGGAGACGACCCAACUGGGGCUACCCAGCUGGCCUUGCGACCCUCUGCAUGCCAACAACUACAACUAACUUAAAGGAAUGCUAUUUCUCUUCUUUCUGAAGCACUUUCCAAAGAUGGUGGGUGAGUGGGCUACCGGAAUGGGUUGGCACCGCCGGGCGCUGCCUUGGCCCUCAACUUUGAAGGCACCACCUGCGGCUGGGAGGACAUCAGCAUGUCUGGGUACCGGUGGCACCCAGGGCAGGGCGGAGGCUGGGUGUGCGCCGCUGACCCCCCCUUCGACCACACGCUGGGCACCAACCAGGGCUGGUACAUGAGCACCUCGGAGCAACGAGCCAAGCCGCCUGCUGCCCCCGCCUGACUCCACUCCCCCACCCUGAGCGACGCGACCUCAGCCUGUGAGCUCUGCGCUUGGUACAUACAGCAUGGCCGAGACAGACUACUGACCCGCCUGGUAGGGAAAAGAAAUACCAUCCUGACCAUUCUUAUCAUUUACUGAUGCCCUGCUUCCCAUCCCCCAUUGGAGACUGAUAAAAACGAGAGAGGCUGAGACCAGAUGACAAUUCGCAAUCCUCACCGGGGUCAGACUAGGUGACCCCUGGAUCCCUCACCCCUCCGCCCUUCCCAUGCAAGACUCACUGGGAGCUUCUCAUUGGAGCUGAGCCACGGCCCCCUGUGGCGAAGCCCCACCUUGUCCUCUGGUGCCUGGUGCCCCCUACUGGCCUAUACCGGAAUAGUCCGCUGCCCUUUCCAGAGACCUUCCACAUGAGCCCCUUCGAGGAGGGCUGGUGUGGGUAGUCAGCAGAUGCCAACCAGAACCUCACCUGGGUGAGGAACUGCAGCUCCCAGGCGUCACCGUCCCCAGCCUGCCCCACCCGCGACCACACCACCAACAGGC